rnacentral:rRNA from 1 species
AUGAACGCUAGCUACAGGCUUAACACAUGCAAGUCGAGGGGAAACGAUAGAGAAAGCUUGCUUUUUCUAGGCGUCGACCGGCGCACGGGUGAGUAACGCGUAUCCAACCUGCCCACCACUUGGGGAUAACCUUGCGAAAGUAAGACUAAUACCCAAUGAUAUCUCUAGAAGACAUCUGAAGGAGAUUAAAGAUUUAUCGGUGAUGGAUGGGGAUGCGUCUGAUUAGCUUGUUGGCGGGGUAACGGCCCACCAAGGCGACGAUCAGUAGGGGUUCUGAGAGGAAGGUCCCCCACAUUGGAACUGAGACACGGUCCAAACUCCUACGGGAGGCAGCAGUGAGGAAUAUUGGUCAAUGGGCGAGAGCCUGAACCAGCCAAGUAGCGUGCAGGAUGACGGCCCUAUGGGUUGUAAACUGCUUUUAUAAGGGAAUAAAGUGGGAGUCGUGACUCUUUUUGCAUGUACCUUAUGAAUAAGGACCGGCUAAUUCCGUGCCAGCAGCCGCGGUAAUACGGAAGGUCCGGGCGUUAUCCGGAUUUAUUGGGUUUAAAGGGAGCGUAGGCCGGAGAUUAAGCGUGUUGUGAAAUGUAGAUGCUCAACAUCUGCACUGCAGCGCGAACUGGUUUCCUUGAGUACGCACAAAGUGGGCGGAAUUCGUGGUGUAGCGGUGAAAUGCUUAGAUAUCACGAAGAACUCCGAUUGCGAAGGCAGCUCACUGGAGCGCAACUGACGCUGAAGCUCGAAAGUGCGGGUAUCGAACAGGAUUAGAUACCCUGGUAGUCCGCACGGUAAACGAUGGAUGCCCGCUGUUGGUCUGAAUAGGUCAGCGGCCAAGCGAAAGCAUUAAGCAUCCCACCUGGGGAGUACGCCGGCAACGGUGAAACUCAAAGGAAUUGACGGAAGGG